GAAAAGAACAAACUGGAACGGAACAGUUUCCAAACAGUGAAGGAGGUUUUUCCAAACUCAUCCCUAACUGAACAUGAGGAUGAAUUGGCAUUAGGCGAACACAGUCAGUUAUUCAGUCUACCACCUGACAGUGUGUUAAAGUUAAAUUCUGUUAGUGCUGCACUAAAAGAAUUGUUAGUAAUAAGUCCAUGCAGCGAAGGAAUUGAACAAUUGUGGGACCGUAUUUGGGCUGAAAAUGGGUGUGGUACAGAAACCCAGAAAUGGCACAAGUUCAACAUGAAACAUGGAUUAGAAUUCUAGUGGGGGAUCAAGUCAAGUCUAGAAGUGUUACAGGAUGGAAGAGUGAGCUUACAGUUGAAAAACACCGAAAGUGCAUUACCAUUAAGGUACGAGGUAAAGUAAUAGAGUAUGCAAGUUGUCUAAUGAGAAGUACCAUGUUGUGUGAAUGAAUCCUGUGUAACAGCAAUCCUUUAUAGUUCUGUUAUAGCUAGAAGCCUCAAAUAAUUCUGCUUCUCUUGCUAAAGAACAACUUGUCCUUUACACUCAGAGUGUUGGUGAA